GUCUUCGAAACAUGCACAGUAUCUUGGGAUACUUUUUAGAUACUGCAGAGGAUCUAUUUCCAACAUCUUUUCACUUUACUUUCAAUUUCAUAAAAAAUUUAAAUUGAUAUUAUUGGAAAAAAUUUUGCGUGGGCCAAUAAUAUGAAAAAGUCUAGGACCCAGGAUAUCCAAGCAUGAUAGGCCCACCUGCUGAAAGCCCUUAUCAACUCAUGAUUGGCCAUAACCUUUGUUGAACUAAUCCUUGACAUCUGCCCGAUUGAUGCUUCACACCC
rnacentral:lncRNA from 1 species